UGGCGGACGGGUGAGUAACGCGUGAGAAUCUAGCUUCAGGUUGGGGACAACCACUGGAAACGGUGGCUAAUACCGAAUAAGCCGAAAGGUGAAAGAUUAAUUGCCUGGAGAUGAGCUCGCGUCUGAUUAGCUAGUUGGUAGGGUAAAGGCCUACCAAGGCGUCGAUCAGUAGCUGGUCUGAGAGGACGAUCAGCCACACUGGGACUGAGACACGGCCCAGACUCCUACGGGAGGCAGCAGUGGGGAAUUUUCCGCAAUGGGCGAAAGCCUGACGGAGCAAUACCGCGUGAGGGAGGAAGGCUCUUGGGUCGUAAACCUCUUUUCUCAGGGAAGAACAAAAUGACGGUACCUGAGGAAUAAGCAUCGGCUAACUCCGUGCCAGCAGCCGCGGUAAUACGGAGGAUGCAAGCGUUAUCCGGAAUGAUUGGGCGUAAAGCGUCCGCAGGUGGCAAGUCAAGUUUGCGGUUAAAGGUUCUGGCUCAACCAGAGACAGGCCGUGAAAAC
rnacentral:rRNA from 1 species